UAAUACGGAGGGUGCAAGCGUUAUCCGGAAUCAUUGGGUUUAAAGGGUCCGUAGGCGGGCUAUUAAGUCAGAGGUGAAAUCCCACAGCUCAACUGUGGAACUGCCUUUGAUACUGGUAGUCUUGAGUUAUAUGGAAGUAGAUAGAAUGUGUAGUGUAGCGGUGAAAUGCUUAGAGAUUACACGGAAUACCGAUUGCGAAGGCAGUCUACUACGUAUAUACUGACGCUAAGGGACGAAAGCGUGGGGAGCGAACAGGAUUAGAUACCCUGGUAGUCCACGCCGUAAACGAUGGACACUAGUUGUUGGAUUAUUUCAGUGACUAAGCGAAAGUGAUAAGUGUCCCACCUGGGGAGUACGAUCGCAAGAUUG
rnacentral:rRNA from 1 species